GGACGGGCAGCAAACCUUUCCCUCCUUUCCGGUAAUAAUCUGUCUCGUAGAUAUCUCUUGUCAUGCCAAAAUCUCCGAUUUUCACCGUGAAAUCUUCUGCCACCAUGCAGUUCCUCGCAGCAAGAUCUCUGUGAACAAAUUUGUUGGCGUUGAGGUAUGCCAUCCCAUCAGCAAUCUCUCCUGCCAUUUGAAUCAUCUUCUUCAGAGUUGGAGGUGCUUGGCCAGGAUUACUCUCUGUGUCUGGCCUCAAUGAUCUCAGGUAACUUUUGAGGUCCCCACGUGUCAUCAGCUCCAUGAUAACUAGGGUAGGCUGGCCCUGAGAAACAACACCUAGCAGGCGAACCACGUGGUGACAAUUGAACUCCUUCAUCACCGAGGCCUCAUUUAAGAACUCUAUCCUCUCACGCAUGCUUGCAGACUCAUUGACUGUUUUGAUGGCCACCCGGGUCUCCGGCUCAUCCUUCACCACUCCCUUGGCUAUUCCCUCAUACACCAUCCCAAAAGAGCCCUGCCCAAGCUCACGGCACAUGGUGAUCUUCUCGCGGGGCACCUCCCAUUCGUCUGGAACGUACACAUCCGAAGCACUGAAGUACUCAGGGUUCACAGAUGCAUAAAGUACUCCAUUGCCCAGUCUGUCACUGUUCCUCUUCUUGUUAAAGACAUACAGCAUUAUCAGCAAACCCCCAAUGAUGAGCAGGAAAGCAAUGGGGAGCACAAUUAUCAAAUGGAGGAAGUUGUCAUAGUUUGCUGAUUUGGGUUGUACAUAGAAAGAGACUGGCUCAGUCCAAGAUCCAUUUCCAGCCAAUGACGUGGCCUGAACUCUAGCAGAAUAGUUUCCGGGGUUCAGAUGUGUCAGCUUUGCCCCUCCAAGCUUCUUGUACUCCUGUCUCGAAACACAUUCUCGUUUCUCCUCCCCAUGCUGCCCAUACUUGAUUUCAUACAUCAGUAUCAGCCCAUUUGGAUUUGUAGGCUCUAACCACUUCAGGUAGACAGUAUUUUCUUCUUUUGCUUCCCAUGCUACUGUUCCUGGAAUGUUAUCUGCUC
rnacentral:lncRNA from 1 species